GGCAUGGUGGUGCAGUGGACAGCACUGUCACCUCACAACAAGGGUCCUGGGUUUGAAUCCCAGAUGAGUGG
rnacentral:tRNA from 1 species